rnacentral:rRNA from 1 species
CCUACGUGAGGCAGCAGUAGGGAGUCUUCCACAAUGGGCGAAAGCCUGAUGGAGCAACGCCGCGUGGGUGAAGAAGGUCUUCGGAUCGUAAAACCCUGUUGUUAGAGAAGAAAGUGCGUGAGAGUAACUGUUCACGUUUCGACGGUAUCUAACCAGAAAGCCACGGCUAACUACGUGCCAGCAGCCGCGGUAAUACGUAGGUGGCAAGCGUUAUCCGGAUUUAUUGGGCGUAAAGGGAACGCAGGCGGUCUUUUAAGUCUGAUGUGAAAGCCUUCGGCUUAACCGGAGUAGUGCAUGGGAAACUGGGAGACUUGAGUGCAGAAGAGGAGAGUGGAACUCCAUGUGUAGCGGUGAAAUGCGUAGAUAUAUGGAAGAACACCAGUGGCGAAAGCGGCUCUCUGGUCUGUAACUGACGCUGAGGUUCGAAAGCGUGGGUAGCAAACAGGAUUAGAUACCCUUGUAGUC